rnacentral:lncRNA from 1 species
AAUCACUCCACAGUCCCUGCUCCUUAUUCAAAAAAAAAGCCCUAAAAUCUCUCUGUUCCUCUCUCUCGCUCUCGCUUUCGCUUGAAUCAACGACAACAGCCAUGAGCCAUCUUCGUUUUUUAGUUAUCCCAAGCCGGUAGCUGACGUCUAGCGCUAGAAAACCCACAAGCCAGGUAUAUUACUUCACCCUUCAUUUUUCACGAUUCUUUAGUGUUUUACUUUUGCUGAUUUUUUGUUCUACGCCAAAUUUGGUUGUUCUAUGUUCCUCUCUCUCGCUUUUGUUGAAAUCACCGAUAACAACCAUGAACCAUCUUCGUUUUUCAGUUGUCCCAAGUCGGUCGCUGACGUCCAGCGCUAAAAAACCCUCAAGCCAGGUUUAUUAUUUCACCCUUCAUUUUUUAAUAUUCUUUAGUGGUUUACUUUUGCUGAUUUUUUUGUUCUAUGCCAGAUUUGGUUGUUUCUUCAUAUACAUACAAUGGCUUUACUAAUUACUACAGUCUAUAAUUUUUUAGUGAAGUAAUUACUUGUUAAAAAUCUGUGUUCCAACUUCUAAGACUUGAUUGUUGAAAAGUUAACUGAAAUUUUAUAGUUCAAGACUUGAUGGGUAAAGUGAGUACCUUGAAUAAGUUUAACUGGAAUUACAAUCUCUACGGCAAGAGAAAAACCCUUUCAUUCUCUUCAGAGCAUUAGACUAUUCACGAGACAAAACUUAAGGCUUGUGCAAUUUUCUAGUUAUCGUGCAUAUUUAUUUUAGCAAAGAGAUUUUAUUCUCUCCUUGUUUAUAAUUUUGCUGACACUGGUUUGGAGCUUGUGUAUUUAUGAAAAUUUUAUAACUACCUUAUAAGUUCUAAUCCUAUCCCAUUAAUAGAGAAUAUUGUGAGAAACCAACUUCUAAUUUGGUUGUGAUUGUUGCUCUUUAGUUUCUCAGUUGAAUUUUAUCUAUACUGUGGUGAUUAGUUCUGUAAAUUUUUG